AUUUUUUUUUUUAAUUAGAUACAUAGUUUUGAUAGGAAUCCUAUAGAAUCAUGUAUUGGGGGGGAAAAAUGGCAAGUUUGUGUAUGUCUGAAAGUGCUUUGGGGGUUUUUGUCAGCUAAGCAUUCAUUACCAAUGUGUCCUUAGAGGGUCUUAGGAAAGAAAAUACCACCUUCAAGUCAGUCGGUCUGAAGUCAAAAGUAAAAUACUUAUGUGCUGAAAUAGCACUCACAAAACACAGCACAGGUGAAAGAAGUUUGGUUUUUUUAAGACUAAAUGAAAGAGCAAUUAAGUGCCCUUUAAUUUAACGGGAAAAGAAACAAUAGAACUCAAUGCCCAGAGCAUGGCUCAGCUUCGCAAUGCAAAAGCAAAAAGAGCAGGAGCAGAGAGCAGACCCAGCAGUUCUCCUGGGUGAAGUUGCGAGUGAAACAGCUGGGGGGCUUGCAUGUUGCAGGUGAAUGUGUGAAGGAAUGAAAAAUAAUGAGAAAAGAGAAGACAUUGGGAAAGCCACCUGCAGGAGUGGAAUGGUGCACUGUCAGAGGGUAAAACAAAAAUACAGUUCUUCUUGGCUGAGUGCUCCCUAAAAAAAGACUUAUACUUCCAAACAUAGAACUACUUUGCUUGCUUCUGCCUUGCUGUAAUAGCACUUUGCUGUAAUAAGAACCUCUGGAAAUAAACAGGGCCUUUCCCAAAGAAAUCCUGGGUUCCUAUCAUCCUCUUCCAUUCCUAAUGCAACAAAGCCAGCAAGGCCCAGGUUUUGGAUAGCUACUUGCACCAUGGGGACAAAAAAACUAGCUGGCAUCAAAGCCUGUGCUGCACAGAUUAGAUCUUCUUAUCAAGAGUUAGAGAGAUGAAGAACUAUUGCGCUCUGCCCAGAAGGAUGGGUUCCAUGCCUUCCCAUGUGCUGUUGCAGGCAGCAUUGCUUUCUUCCCUUUGGAAGACUGUUAAAAACUCUGGCCUGAUCUGUUACUGCUGAAGUGAAUGGGAGUUUUGCCAUUGACUUCAAGGAGACAAGAAGCGAAUCAGGCCCUCUGCUUGCAAAUCCAGUCUUUAUAGUCCUUUCCAGAUACUAAAUAAAACUGUGCUUGGAAGUAAUUUGAAUGCCAGCAAGCUGGCCCAAUUUGCCAUGGAUUUCAAAGAUGCCCAACAAUCUAACAUUUAUUAGGAUACAAAUAAAGUGUCUUCUUCACAGUGCAAUUGCAAUUUCCUUCCCAGUAAAAAUAUAAACGUGCCUUAUGUGCAAACAAUUUUAGCAUUUCUGUUUUUAUGCCAUUUUACUGACAAGAAGCUCCCAGCUGUUAUAAUUUGUCUCAUCCUUCUCUCUCUUGUAGAACCAGCCUUUGUUCCUUUUUGCAGUGCCAGGGACUUGCUGAGCUCCACCUGAUGUGAUUUGUCCAGGCAUUAAUAAUGCAUCUUCAAGAUGCAAGAUGCAUGAAUUCCUUUAGUAACAGAUCCGCCGGCAGACUGCCGCACCGUAUUGUGCCGCUUUCCCGAGAUGGGGGAGGCAAGAGGGCCACACAAGCAUCAUGUACCCGUGCAGGUCACCCGGCUUGGCAGAGAGGGGGCUCCUGUUAUUACGAGGGGGUAACUACAUCCUCACGACGAGGUCAGGCUGAGGAUAAUGAACAUUACAGUAGACGUUCCUCCAGCAGGCAGGUCCUUACCCGCCACCCAAGGAAUCCCUGUGGAACGACCUGAGGUGUCCACACUGACAGUGACUUUAGGAGAAGUGGCAAGCAGGGGUCGAGUGCUGCCCCGCUGGCGAGUGCUGUCCCUAAACAUCACCAAACCAAGCCAUCUUUGCCUCCGAGCGCUCCUCAGCCUCCUCUCCCUUCAGGACGGCAGGAGAGCUCGGCACCCGGACGAUGCGCUUUAUGGACGCUGUGUGCUGGAGGGGGAGGCUCUCCCUCAGCAGACACCGCACACGCCUGCUCCUCACCCAUUCCCGGGGAACGCGGAGGGAUCUGACGGCCUUCCGCACCAAAUGGUCUCAGUGCCGCUUUCCCCGUGCGCGAGUGUGACUCGCAGGUGUUGCUGUCAGUGAUCCUCAAGGCUACAGACCGCAGGCUCAGCCCUGCCUUCUGCGGCUGUGACUGUGUGUACCCACAAGUAGGUACAUUCUCUGCACAGAGGGGCCUGGGAGUCCUGCUAGACAACGAGCUGUCCAAGACCAAUACUGGGAUGUAUUAGGAAGAGCAUUGACAGCAGAUUGAAGGAGAUGAUCCUGCCCCUCUACUGAGACCUGCCUUUUCAGAAGCCUCACCACCCUGCUGUCUCUAGGCUCAGAUCAGCAAGGCAGUCAAGCACAUACUUUCCUUCAGGAACAGCUGAGAUAUUUUAUAGCCUGUCAACAACCCCUCUUCAAGAAUAACCUGAGAAAGCAGAUUGUCUGUGGAGAGCAAGGCUUGAUCCACAACAGAGGAUCCUUUGAGCUGUAGUGUUUACCUUGCUGUCUCAAGCCCUAACUGCUUCAUUCUUUGUAAUUUGAUUAUUUGGUCACGCCCUGGAAUGCAAAGUAUUGCUCUGAUGUAUUUGUAUAAACCUAGGCUCUUCAAAUACUGUCCAGAGCAGCCAGACAGAAACAUCUGGGAGCCUUGCUUCUGCAGUGCCAAUAUGCAUGGAGACAGACUCAUUUACACCAACAAAAAAAUGCCUGUGCAUCUACUGACUAAUCAGAACACAAUUUGUCAAAGAAAAAAUAUUGUUUAUGCAUCAACAUUCACUUUGGAUUUUUUUUUUUAUUCUGAAGGUAAACAGUAAAUGCCAUUUACAUCCAGCUGCUGCAUCCCCGUAAUUCUGAACACAUUCAGUUUAAGUAUAACUUUGUUCAUCCUUUUUCUCAUCUUGAAAAUAGGAUAAAAAAAUCUAUCUCAGAAUAUAUUCUGCUAUAAUUAAACAAAUACAGUCAAGAUUCAGAGCCAUCUGUAUUUCAUACCAUACUUCAUAAUGUCUCAAUAUCACAAACUCUAAGGAGUAACACUAUACAUUAAUGGGAACAUGUGUCGUAUCUACUUGCUCUUUAUGACUUACAGGCUAUCUAUAUUAUCCCCAUGUCUCCAAAUCUCUGAAAACAAGUGUAAAUAGUAAUUCUUAUUAACUGCAGAGACACCUGCACUGAUAUGGACAAAUCUGGUCAACAGCAGGUUCCCCUGCUGUUUUACUAAGCCUGCAACAUGCUCCUGUCUCUGGCAGAUGCUCCUGUUUUGUAUUACUUCUAAGCAGAUAUCAACUUUAUGCACUUUUUGAAAUUCCUUUCAGGAACCACUGUCCUUCUGGCUACCAAGGGCCUUUUGCUGGAACAAAACAAUGAAGAGAUCAGGGAGCCUAUUGCAUCUGGAGGAUGUUCAGUGAUCUCUUCUGGCCUUGCUGCAGCUCCAGCUCUCUUCCUGCAGCUCCUUUUUUCCUUCAGAAGAGCUAGGACAAGUGCCUGCUAAGGAAGCAAGACAUAUCUCUGCUAACAGCUGCUCCUUGAAAACUUGCAAAAUCCGAUUGUGUGCAGCUGACUGCAGAGCUGGUAUAUGUGUCAGAAACCUGACAGAAGCUAAACCUGAAAAAAUGAGGGUAACAUACUUCUAGUUAGAGGAUUUAAAGACAUUACUUUUUUUUUUUUUUUUUGUAGAAUCUCUUUACCAUACCCAAAAUUGACUAGGGAAAAAGAUCUCUGUUAUUCAGCAUCUAAAUUAAAGGCUGAUAAAUCUG